CUUCUUUCCAUAGUCGACAGAGAGACGUUCCAUCAGCAGGGAGGUGAACCCAGAGCCGGUGCCGCCUCCAAAGCUGUGGAAGAUCAGGAAGCCCUGGAGACCAGUGCACUGGUCAGCCUGAGAGAAACAAAGGUACAGGCCAAACUGUUUGUGGCCAAGAAACCGCUUACACCUCCACAAACUCUGAAGAGCUCCGUUGGAUGAAUAAGAGCAAGUGUUAUUCAUGGAACUGGCUGUGGAAGAAAAUCUGAAAAUGAUCCAUCCAAUGAAAUCAGCCCUGACAUCUGUGAAUCCUAUUCAUGAUGAAGGCAGUGAAACAAGAAGCAGAUCUGUUUUAAGAGACAUGAGGCGUAUUGAAGACACAAAGGAUGGGAGCGCUGCAUGAAGGGAGCAGGAGACAUAAUAUUCAGAAGCUUACCAUUGUUGCAGUUUCUUCAGGCCGACGUUAAGGAUCUGCGACAGAAAUCUUGCUUGUGUGUCCUGGCGGCGGCUCGUCUGUAUUUAUAGGAUUAGCGAACACCUUGGUAACAAGCUUUGUUGUUGGUAACAAAGGGGUUAAAUGUGUUUGGUCGAUCGGAGUUCUGGGCUGGGAAGAGGAAAGCCAAUCAUUCAGCUCGAGAGGAGACUAUGCAUACAAGCCCUGCCGCACAUCAAUAACUCCUCCCCAUCUACCCAGGAUGAUAAUGUGUAACUGACCAUCCGACCGACCAGCCCCACCUUACGUAGGACAAAAGGUUCCUAAGGGGACUGUAAUUUAAUCCCUAAACAUUAAAGAACCUGUACCACAACAAAUGUUUAGAAAAUACACAUACUAUGUUAGUGUCAGUACCAUGGGUCCGUUAACGAAGGAAUUUAAGAAUUAGUCACUUUAAGGUGGUUGAUCCCCUCCCCCAUGGCCCCUGUUGUUUGAGCCAUUUGUUAUUCAAAGGCGAUGCCUUCCCCGCCCGCCCUCACUCCCUCCCCUUGUCCCUGUGGCCUGGCAGGGUUCUGUUGUGUUUCAUGCUUCGUUGACUGUAUCCUAUGGUAACAGGCACCAUAGGUAACAGCUACACCAAGGUGACCUUUUAACUCAAGACUCCAUUGGCACAAGGAAUCAUUUAUAAUUAGUUUGUUUACAAAAUUAUCAAGUUUAAAACAUUUGACUUGUUUAUCCAUUUCAUAUGAUAAAAUUAACAAAUUCAUGGGGAUGCUCCUAUACUUAUUUGGGAGUUAAGAAAUAUCUAUUUAUGUCACUGAAUCUGUAGUGAUUGUUUGAGGCAUGGCUUGAAAGGGGAGCCAGUCUGAGUCCUGGAAGCAUCUCCAUCCCAUGCACCUGCUAACAGAGUAUACUGUAUAUUCACCACAGAAGCAGCAAUGAUGUCAUGAGAGGAAUGUGACUAAGCAAGUCCUGCUAUUGGCCGCCAUUACAAUGCUUUGCCUUAAAGGCCUGUCAAGUCACACUGCCAUCUGGUGUUAUAAUAAAGUAGCACAGACCACUACUAUGUGGGUGUAGUCCCCGAGUGAGGGGCAGCUGUCUGAUUGGUCUUCUGAUGUGUGAUCAGUAGAGUGUGAAAAUGUUGUUUAGGCUAUCACCAUACAGGCACCAGGCGUUCUAACCACCAGGUGUAAAGCAGGUGAAACAAUGAAGGCCACAGUGUCUGGUGUUGAACCCCUCUUUAAUGUUGUAAAGAAGACUGUCGGUUACAGGCUCGAUCACUUUCCACUGAGAGACAUUUUAAACAUACAGUUACAGGGUGUUCACACAGGUGUUGAUUUCCAGCUGCAUCUAGGAGUUGAACACAGUACAUCCCAUAGGCUUAAUUUGACUUGAGUUUAACUUUGGUUUUCAGCAGGACACAAUGUGGACAUUGAGAUGAUUUGUUUCAGGGCUCUUUGAAUACUUGUAUGGAUUGUUACAUUAAAAUUGUAUGACACCCAUAAAUAAUUGCCUUACUUUUGAUCAGAACAUUGACCACCGUUGUAAAACUCUUCUGAACAUGUGGUUUGUUAAUUACCCCUCGCCCUUAUCAACAUAUUCUAAUACAGACAGUUAGGUGUAGAUUUUAUGAUUGAGCCAUUAUCACUCCACUCAGAGCCAAGCAAUAACCUGAGUUCUAAUGAAACCAAUACCACAGAGUUGAGAGCCUAUUAUGCUCUUGCUUUAGUUAUCCAGUGUUUCACAAAAGUUGUCGCAACCAUAGAAAUAGAAUCCAUAGAACAGUCUUCCUCAUUCAAGUCAAUGGUGGCAUAGUGGGUGGUCUGGCAGCCAUUGCACACGUGAGUUUACCAGUCAAAUUGCCAGGGCUAGAGGUUUCAACUUCAAAGCCCUUUCUAUGGAUUCCAUGUAUAUGGUUGCAACCAUGCAGGGCUUCUGCACACCAUUCCCUAACACAUGUCCCAGGAAUCUCUUUCACAGGAGAGGGACUGAUAGAAAAAUACACAGAUCUAGGGAGCCUGAUUCUGAUGUGUGUCCUGACUCCUGACCACUGACCCAAUCUCUGAGAGAUUUCUCUCUAAGGGAGAGAGCAACGGCUGAGUUUCCUUUAUUUCCCUUCAACUACUGCUUGGGAGAGAGGGACAGUACAAAUAAAGGUGGAGAGAGGGACAGUACAAUACAUAAAGGUGGAGAGAGGGACAGUACAAUACAUAAAGGUGGAGAGAGGGACAGUACAAUACAUAAAGGUGGAGAGAGGGACAGUACAAUACAUAAAGGUGGAGAGAGGGACAGUACAAUACAUAAAGGUGGAGAGAGGGACAGUACAAUACAUAAAGGUGGAGAGAGGGACAGUACAAUACAUAAAGGUGGAGAGAGGGACAGUACAAUACAUAAAGGUGGAGAGAGGGACAGUACAAUACAUAAAGGUGGAGAGAGGGACAGUACAAUACAUAAAGGUGGAGAGAGGGACAGUACAAUACAUAAAGGUGGAGAGAGGGACAGUACAAUACAUAAAGGUGGAGAGAGGGACAGUACAAUACAUAAAGGUGGAGAGAGGGACAGUACAAUACAUAAAGGUGGAGAGAGGGACAGUACAAUACAUAAAGGUGGAGAGAGGGACAGUACAAUACAUAAAGGUGGAGAGAGGGACAGUACAAUACAUAAAGGUGGAGAGAGGGACAGUACAAUACAUAAAGGUGGAGAGAGGGACAGUACAAUACAUAAAGGUGGAGAGAGGGACAGUACAAUAGAUAAAACAUUCAUCUUAGCAGAGCGACAGCCUAGGGAGCCCACUUCUCAGAGGCAAAUGGUACAUUAAACGGGUCACAGAUAUAAGAUCACAUGGUUUCAGAACACCUGAGUCUUUUUGCAUUUCA